CUGUGCCUCCUGAUUGCUGAGUAUUCAUCUGGACCUUCUGACCACCUUCCUUGUACUGUUCCAUCAGUCUACAGAUCUGGUACCUGGAUUUUUGCCCUUGGUGAUUCCUUCACCUUACUGCUGAAGAAGACACCAUUCCAGUGGACCACUGUGAUCCAGGAGGCAUUCAACCAUCAUGAUGUGGCCUUCACCUCCACUCCUGUUCCACUCAGAUUCAGAACAGCCCUUUA
ensembl:misc_RNA